rnacentral:rRNA from 1 species
UACGAAGGGGGCUAGCGUUGUUCGGAAUCACUGGGCGUAAAGCGCACGCAGGCGGAUCGUUAAGUCGGGGGUGAAAUCCCGAGGCUCAACCUCGGAACUGCCUUCGAUACUGGCGAUCUUUGAGCCCGGGAGAGGUGAGUGGAACUCCGAGUGUAGAGGUGAAAUUCGUAGAUAUUCGGAAGAACACCAGUGGCGAAGGCGGCUCACUGGCCCGGUACUGACGCUCAGGUGCGAAAGCGUGGGGAGCAAACAGG